UGCCGCCGUCGCUGUCGCCGCUACUGCUACUGCCGUCGUCAUCGUCGCACACGCAGUACGUCGUCGUUAUUGCUCUCGUAAUCGUCGUCCAGUCGCGCGUGGUUAACGUAGCAGCGGUUCUUGUUUUAAGAGGAAGGCGCGAGCGAGUAUUGAUAACGUGUAUUGAGAGGAAACAGACAAAACGAAGUACUCGCGAGAAUAUCGGGCAAGCUGAUUAUGAGUUGGAACAGUGGAGCGGGUCAGCGAGCAUCCGGGCCAGCAGCGUUUUUAAAGUGAGAACAAGUUUUUCGUGGUUUUGUGUUGUAUCCGCGAGAUCGACCGGAACAGUACAGUGAGAUUCUUGUGAGGAGUACCAAGCUUCGAGGAACCAGUGAAGGCUCACCGACCGACUAUACGUCUUGUCACGGUGACCGACAUCACGGCGAGAUCGUGGCUGAUACCUCCGCGUGUUCCGGCGCAAGAACAGCAGAAUCCGAAGUUCGACCGCGGGAGGAACCAGGAGUGCACCGAAUAAAUGACGUAAAUCCGAGGAACGGAAACGCAACGUCACUCGCUAACUCGCAAUCCCCCCUUCCCCCCACCGUACCUCCCCCUUUUCUGUCUUUCUCUUUCACCAUUUCCACGUCACCUCCCGUUCCCCCUUUCGUCCAAUCCGACGCGACCCGAGCCCGGUGAUCCACGAUCCAAAACAGAGCCGAGAACCCACCAUCACUCUCUACCCUCGCCUUUUUUACCCGCUUUGUCGCCUACCGCCUUGCUUACACUCUUUACCAGCCUUCCUCUCUCGGCCUCCUUCGUAAAGGGAACAACGGUCUGUCCUUUCGUCUUCGUCUACUUCCAUCCUGCGGCCCGUGGAAGGAUAACCCAGGCUCACCUUUCCAACGUUCAAGAGCUCCUUUCUAGCUCCGUUUUCUGUCUCCUGGUUCAGUAGACUCUACCACACCGAGACCACACGCUUCAGAACCGGCUUGAAGGACACCAGGACCGGCUUUUUGAAAUACACACCUAUUCGAUAUACACAAACACACGUAAGCACACACACACGCACACACACAACACACACAUAGAUCUGUCUCUCUGUAAUAAAAACUCCAACGCAGCCAGCCAGCAACAGCCAGCCAUAUAUCGAUCAAAGAAAACAAACUCGCGCCUAGAGAGCACACAUACACACGUACACGUACACAGACACACACACACACUCCUCGUGGUCGACGUUUAGCUUCGAAAGGCUUUCAAGCUUUGCCCAAAAAUCUACUACGCGCCUUCUAAAGCUCCUGCGAAGUGCAUCGCGCGAAGAUAAAACAGAAAACAGAGGAAUCGAAGAACGACGAUCUUCUUGGAUCGACCAAAGCCGCAACAUCGCCUGAAUAAACGAAAAACUUGUGAGGGGACAAGAAAAAAUUACCGCAUCGAAGCCACAGAGCCUAAUCGCUGUUGAUAGAUCUCCUACCGUCUCCCUCUCUAUUUCCCGUGAAACGAACACGGUCCUCUUCCACCAGUCGCCAACCGCCUGCCGUUGUGUAACUCCCCGUGCCUGAACACACACACGCCUACGGUGCAACGGUUUUUGGUGAACACACAUCAUCGUCCGCAUUCGAGAUCGUGUGUACGAGCGCUGGAAUCACGAAGGGAGGAAAGAAUCAGUGAAAAAAAUAAUAUAAUAAUAAGAACAAAGAAACAGAAAAUACAGAAGGGAAACAACAGCCACACUUUCUCUCUCUGUCACUCUAUCGCUGUCCAGCUAACCGCUAACUUGGCAAACGGCGCGCACUUGAGCUGCACUGUCUCUCUGUAGCGACUAACCGCUGCGAUCGAUAACGCCCAACAGUGCGCACGAUAAAGAGCGAGCAGCCGAUAACCACGGGCGAUAUCGCCACACGGUCUAAGAAUAGUUUAGAAUCGCGUGACGAAGCCACCACGACAAUCGCGAGCGUUUUACACGGUGUUCGAUAUAAUACAUACGCGACAACGAAAUACAAGUAAGGCAAGUUCAAGAAACAAACGACGGGGUUUCUGAUCAACGCGAGUUUAUUCGAUCCUAGUUACCACCUUUCUUCACUUCGUCGACGUCGUUGGUGUGUUGUCGAACGGUUACGCGAGUUUUACGGUUCGUCAUCGUCCUCAUCGUAGUCGUCCGCACGGAAGAUAUACAGUGAACUGGAAGACCAGCAACUUGUGUGACGGGACCGCGUUCAUGGAACAAUAAGAUCGCACGUUGCACGAAGAGAGCCUUCGAAAGCCGGUGCGAGUGAACGCGAGGCGAACACGCCAGAACCGGAGGAAGAGGAUAAAUCACAGUCGAUAGGAAAGCCUGUCCGUACGCUAAGGAGGAGUCCCGUGGUCUUCCAGGA